rnacentral:rRNA from 1 species
UGUGACCUCGGAUCAGUAGCUCCA